CCUACGGGAGGCAGCAGUAGGGAAUAUUGGGCAAUGGAGGCAACUCUGACCCAGCCAUGCCGCGUGCAGGAAGAAGGCGUUAUGCGUUGUAAACUGCUUUUAUAUAGGAAGAAAUAGACCUUGCGAGGUAAGUUGACGGUACUAUAUGAAUAAGCACCGGCUAACUCCGUGCCAGCAGCCGCGGUAAUACGGAGGGUGCAAGCGUUGUCCGGAUUUAUUGGGUUUAAAGGGUGCGUAGGCGGUUUAUUAAGUCAGUGGUGAAAGACGGUCGCUCAACGAUUGCAGUGCCAUUGAUACUGGUAGACUUGAGUGGGAUUGAGGUAGCUGGAAUGGAUAGUGUAGCGGUGAAAUGCAUAGAUAUUAUCCAGAACACCAAUUGCGUAGGCAAGUUACUAAGUCUCAACUGACGCUGAGGCACGAAAGUGUGGGUAUCAAACAGGAUUAGAUACCCUGGUAGUCCACACUGUAAACGAUGAUAACUAACUGUUGGCUUUCGGGUCAGUGGUACAGAGAAAUCGUUAAGUUAUCCACCUGGGGAGUAACGCCGGNAACGGUUGAAACGUUCAAAGGAAUUGACGGNUGAGACGNGCGAGACGACGACGAGGAGGAGG
rnacentral:rRNA from 1 species